GAUGCCAAAGUGGGUCACACCAAUCAUGGUAUGGUACCCUAGAGCCGGGGCUGAGCCUGAAGACUUGGACAGUGGUAAUGCCAGACUCACUGCAGAGCAAGAGGGCUCUUCUGAGAUCCACCGAGUAGGCUUGAGAGAGAUGGAUGGAAACAUCACAAGGUACCCUGGCUGCACCCAUCCAAUUUCCAGCCUCGAAACUUCCUGUCCUGUUUCUACUGAAGUGAAAGACUUACAAGAUGUGUUGUAACCCUAACCAUGGCUGAGAGAAGGCAGAGACUGAAAUUUUUCAACUUAAAAAUUAAUAUGAUAAAGGACAACAAAGUAUUUUGAGAGAAAAAUGUGAGAAGACAAAUGAAAAACUGUAAUAAACCUGAGAAAAGGUAAUUAUUUGAACAAGACACUUCAAAGGUUGAAA